GCAGCUGCUAUCAUGCAGUGAGCGGACGAUGGGAGCUUGCUCCCUGAUGUUAGCGGCGGACGGGUGAGUAACACGUGGGUAACCUGCCUGUAAGACUGGGAUAACUCCGGGAAACCGGGGCUAAUACCGGAUGGUUGUCUGAACCGCAUGGUUCAGACAUAAAAGGUGGCUUCGGCUACCACUUACAGAUGGACCCGCGGCGCAUUAGCUAGUUGGUGAGGUAACGGCUCACCAAGGCGACGAUGCGUAGCCGACCUGAGAGGGUGAUCGGCCACACUGGGACUGAGACACGGCCCAGACUCCUACGGGAGGCAGCAGUAGGGAAUCUUCCGCAAUGGACGAAAGUCUGACGGAGCAACGCCGCGUGAGUGAUGAAGGUUUUCGGAUCGUAAAGCUCUGUUGUUAGGGAAGAACAAGUGCCGUUCAAAUAGGGCGGCACCUUGACGGUACCUAACCAGAAAGCCACGGCUAACUACGUGCCAGCAGCCGCGGUAAUACGUAGGUGGCAAGCGUUGUCCGGAAUUAUUGGGCGUAAAGGGCUCGCAGGCGGUUUCUUAAGUCUGAUGUGAAAGCCCCCGGCUCAACCGGGGAGGGUCAUUGGAAACUGGGGAACUUGAGUGCAGAAGAGGAGAGUGGAAUUCCACGUGUAGCGGUGAAAUGCGUAGAGAUGUGGAGGAACACCAGUGGCGAAGGCGACUCUCUGGUCUGUAACUGACGCUGAGGAGCGAAAGCGUGGGGAGCGAACAGGAUUAGAUACCCUGGUAGUCCACGCCGUANACGAUGAGUGCUAAGUGUUAGGGGGUUUCCGCCCCUUAGUGCUGCAGCUAACGCAUUAAGCACUC
rnacentral:rRNA from 1 species